UACGUAGGUGGCAAGCGUUGUCCGGAUUUACUGGGCGUAAAGAGCGCGCAGGCGGUCGAUCAAGUCGCGUGUGAAAAGCCCCCGGCUCAACUGGGGAGGGUCACGCGAUACUGAUCGACUCGAAGGCAGGAGAGGGUAGUGGAAUUCCCGGUGUAGUGGUGAAAUGCGUAGAUAUCGGGAGAACACCAGUGGCGAAGGCG
rnacentral:rRNA from 1 species